CAAAACAUUGUAAUUAAGGCUGACAAAGGACAAAUGGGGAGAACAUUUGCCACACUGUGGGAAACAAAGGGUUAAUGAACAAAUGCAAUUCGAAGGUGUUUGUUGAGGCGUCUCUACCGUCACCAUGGAAACUGUGACGGGGCGAGGCUUCGGAGGGGCAGAGUCCGAGGCCCGGGUAGUGAGCUAGAGCUCGAGGUCCCAAAGACGACCAGUACUUAAAGCAGCCACCUUGGUGGCUUCUGCGACCCCAGCUGCUGUCUGCGCUCUGGUGCUGGGGAACACCAGGUUCCACCGCCUGUCCGCUUCCAGAUGGCGGUGUGAUUCUGGAACAGGUCAUCGUCCCUAAGCUCCAAUAAACUGGGACAUCUGACUUGACCGUGGGUGGACAGUCGAAGCGCAUUAAAGCAGGCUCUACGGAGGUGGCCACUCUGACCCACAGCUCCUUUUCUGAGUCUCAGGCCUUCCACAUCUACUUUCUCUCUACACUUGGGGAAGCUAAAGAAAAAGCGGAGAAACACCAAGCGGAGCCACAUUGGGUUUGGAAGUAUAUACCCAAAUUCCAUCGCUCACGGAUUAGUGACCCCAGGAGGGGCAUUACCACGUUACCUACCGAAUGAAAGGGGCUCGCUACCAAAUGCUCUAGAAGCCAAUGCUAUGGCACCGCGUUUGAGAAAAGAAAAGCUUUAUUGCAAAUCCACCUACAAGAAGACAGGAGUCCGGCUCAAAUCUGUCUCUCUGUGUCGGCUUUAAGAUAGUAUUUGUAUUAGAAAAUGUUUGGGGGUGGGUUCUAGGAUUAGGAAAGGGUAGGGCUGGGAAGUCCUGGGCAUGCGCAGUUCUCUCUUCAUGCUUGCUCCUGGAUCCUACUUGCAAACUGUGGGGGAGUUAGGAAACAAGCGGUGGAAGAUAAAGCUGUGCCAUCAAAGUUUGUUCUGAGCAGUGGCCAGGUGGCCGUAUUGACUCCAAUCGAUUUCUGCCAGGUUUUUUGUUUUUCUUUUUUUAAAUCUCACAAGCUGAGGGAGUAGCUUCAGCAUUCCAGAAAAUUGUUUGUUUUCUUAUCUGCUAUCCUGCAAGCUCAAGAAUUUGUCAGUCACUGGUUUCUUUAACACUUUGGGGCACGUUUCAACCAGAAUGAACAGCACAAGAGCUCAAUGACACACAUAUUAUGGGAAAUCUCAGAAGGGUAGGAAAUUCUGGCUGGGGAGGUUAAUAGACGUGAGGGUGUGAAAGUUCCAUCGGCAGUAGUAGAAUAUGUGCAGAACACCAGAGUAACAAGAGAAAGCCUCAGAAGGGACAGAUGACAGAUAUUUCCUGUAGCAAAUCUUUUACAGUGUUGAAAAAGAUGCAGACCUUUUCUAAACCCAAAUGGUCAUGGAGGCAUCAGGUGACCAGGAGCUGGAUAAACACUGAAGAAACAGACAUGACACAUUCUUACUGCAUGUAGCACAAGCCAGAGAGGAAAAUGUAGGUCGAAUCUCAGAACAAAACUUAGAGCCUUAACAAACAUCAUCAUCCACAAAAGAAGGAGAAAAAGAAAGGCAUGCUUGGUCUGCACUCACAGCUUCAGUUAGUGUACUUUCUUCUACACCAAAGUGGGUAGAUGUUACUAAUGAUUUCUUCAUGUGGGAGUUGCCAGGACUAAAUCUGUCUCCACCUGCAGUAUUCACAUUUACUCAAACCAUGCAUAUUCCAGGAGCAGUGCAUCCUUCAUAGGGUCAUAUCCAUUCUUUUAGUACCCUGUGGCUCCCCUCUGAGCUGUGAAAGGCCUCCUUCCAUCUGUCCAGGUAUCUGGAGGGAAGUGAAUGCUGAGGGCAGGAGGAUUUCCAUUUCCUAAAGGAUCUGGGGAUAAUAUAUCUCCUGCAAUGAAGCUGUUUCAAAAGAAUUCACCUAAUAUGAACACAAAUUAUUUCAAAAGAAAGCAGCACAAGACCUAACAAAGAAAGUACAGUUUAAAACAAAAAGGAAAAGGAAAAGCAAAAGUUUGCCUAAGAAGCUUCCUUGAACACCCAGUACAUCAGCAGGAAUGAAAUCUAUGAUUAAAAAACCGGCAGCAAAAAACAAACAAAAAACAUAAAAAGAAAUAAAAAAUAAAUACAUAAAAGAGAAUAAAUAAAAAAUACAAAACCCGCAGGACUUACUGAACUUAAGGAAGCCAUCAUUUCUACAAUGUAAGACAAAUGUAUAUAUCCCAGGGCUCAGGCCAAAGGGGGCAAGACUGCAGAAGAAGCUGGAAUACAGGCAGCAGUACACGGCAUUGGGGUGGGAGGGAAUAAAUAAAAAUCAAGUAGUGUUAAGUCUGUAAAAUAAGUUUAAAGAGAUUUAG